UAAUACCGGAUAAUUCUUUUCUACUCAUGUAGAAAAGCUGAAAGAUGGUUUCGGCUAUCACUCAUAGAUGGGCCCGCGGCGCAUUAGCUAGUUGGUGAGGUAACGGCUCACCAAGGCGACGAUGCGUAGCCGACCUGAGAGGGUGAUCGGCCACACUGGGACUGAGACACGGCCCAGACUCCUACGGGAGGCAGCAGUAGGGAAUCUUC
rnacentral:rRNA from 1 species